AUUGAACGCUGGCGGUAUGCUUAAGACAUGCAAGUCGAACGGUAACAGGUUAAGCUGACGAGUGGCGGACGAGUGAGUAACGCGUGGGAAUCUACCUUGUAGUGGGGGAUAAGCCAGGGAAACUUGGACUAAUACCGCAUACGCCCUAAGGGGGAAAGGCGCAAGUCGCUAUAAGAUGAGCCCGCGUCUGAUUAGGUAGUUGGUGGGGUAAAGGCCUACCAAGCCGACGAUCAGUAGCUGGUCUGAGAGGAUGAUCAGCCACGUCGGGACUGAGACACGGCCCGGACUCCUACGGGAGGCAGCAGUCGGGAAUAUUGGACAAUGGGGAAACCCUGAUCCAGCAAUACCGCGUGUGUGAAGAAGGCCUGCGGGUUGUAAAGCACUUUCAGUUGGGAAGAUAAUGACGUUACCAACAGAAGAAGCACCGGCUAACUCCGUG
rnacentral:rRNA from 1 species